CUUGCGGGUUGCUGGGUGGGCGGUAGCUGAGCUGGAAGUUCUCUCACUGACUUUUUUCCUGUGCAAGGGGCAAUCUCCGAAUGCCUGUUGAGUUUGAAGCCUGAGAUGUGUGAGCUAAAGCAAUAGAGGACGUUUCUUGGCUGCUGUCCUGAUGCCAGGAGGACCUGGUGCCAAGCUUUAGCUGUUGCAGUGGUAUAUGGAUUUCGGCUCUGCUGCAUUUCCCUAAGAAGCAAACUUGAAAAUGGAAAUGAAGAGAAAUCCAACAAAGCUGUUGCUAUGGCUGAUGUUCCUCACCGAUACUGUGCCAUUCACCUACGAGAAAUCAAUGAGAGAGCAAGCUAUCAAGCUGAUGCAAGAUACUCGUUUAAUCGAUGGCCACAAUGACUUUGUACUACGGCUGAGAAUAUUUUACCAAAAUAGACUCAGCAAAGUCAACUUAAGAGAGAUCAACAAGACCCAUACAAACCUUGCAAAACUUGAGGCUGGUUACGUGGGAGCUCAGUUUUGGUCAGUGUAUGUUCUUUGCAGCGCUCAGAACAAGGAUGCUGUGCGUCUGACGUUAGAGCAAAUUGAUGUUGUCAAGAGGAUGUGUAACAGCUAUGAAGAGCUUGAACUUGUGACGACUUCCCAAGGUAUCUCUGACAGCAAGAAAAUUGCGUGUUUGAUUGGAAUCGAAGGCGGUCACUCCAUUGACAGCAGUUUGGCCACACUGAGGAUGUAUUAUGACCUGGGCGUUCGUUACAUGACCUUAACACAUUCCUGCAAUACACCGUGGUCUGAAUCUUCAUCUAAAGGAAUACACAACUUUUAUCCUAGUGUUACUGGUCUGACUGCUUUUGGCCAAGAAGUGGUAAAGGAAAUGAAUCGCCUGGGUAUGCUGAUAGAUUUAUCGCAUACUUCAUAUUCCACAGCAAAAGCUGCACUACAUAUCUCAAAAGCACCAGUAAUUUUCAGCCAUUCUGCUGCAUUUUCUGUUUGUAAUCAUUCGAGAAAUGUUCCUGAUGAUAUCCUCCAACAACUGAAAAGGAACAGGGGAAUUAUCAUGGUGACUUUCAAUGCAGAUGUACUGGCCUGUGGCAGAAAAGUUGUUAAUAUUUCUACCCUCGCAGAUCAUUUUGACUACAUAAAGAAAAUUGCAGGUCCAGAAUCGAUAGGAAUUGGUGGUGACUACGAUGGAGUGGAACGUUUCCCUGAGGGACUGGAAGACGUUUCUAAAUACCCUUCUUUGAUUGAGGAACUUCUUAGAAGAGGAUGGAAUGAAAUUGAACUAAAAGCAGUCUUAAGGGAGAACUUCCUGCGUGUCUUCAGGGAAGUGGAAAAGGUGCGGAACUCUAGUGGACUAAUGGAUGUAGGCGAGAGUGAAAUCCUGCACAAAGAAGUACAAAAUUCCUGUCGCCUAGACCUACAUAAUUAUCGGAUUGAGACGAUCAGUUCUUUUGGAUUUUCUCCUGUGGCACAGUCUUUUAGUCUGACACUUGUACCAUAUUUAAUACUGUAUUAUGAAUCAUAAAAUCUGUGGAGUCUGGAGAGAGAGAGAGAGAUGGAAUAACCUGCAAUACCACUAGUAUCUUUUUUGGGGGUUGUUAAUGUAGAGCUCUGCUAAAAUAUUGUAUAUAAGUUCUAUACUUUCACCUACAUACUUGAAAAUGUAGAUUUUAAGUGUUGUGGCAAAAGCAUUUAGUAUUUGAAGUGGUAAAUUCUUUGUCAUCUUGGCCAAGUCACGACCAGCACUGUAAAUGAAAAGUAUUCACACUUAAUGAAUAAACCCUCUAAUACAUGACACAUGGUUUUGGUACCAUGUUGUGGCAGUUGAUGUAAAUACCAGGGUCCAGAAUCAGCAGAUCUACACAGGAACGAGAGAGUGUGACUAAGACAUUAAGACAUCUGUACUGGGAUGUUUUCAGAUAUUACUUCUUUUCAUAUAUUUACUUCUCAUCAGUUCUUCUGCUAAUAGCUUCAUAAGCUGUUAGAAAACUGCCAUCCAUGGUCUCUUUUCACAAAAUUAGUACUGUUAUAUUAAGUUUAAUGCAUAUUUAAAAUGUAAGAUGCUUCUUUUUCCUUUCAGCCUUUUAUUUUUUACUCAGUUUCCACAUUCCUGCUUAAUUUGUACUUUUCUUUGAUAUUGUAGCAUGGAUUUAAUAUACAUUCAUCUCCUUUAAGACAUGGAUAAUAUUUUUACAUCACUAUUUUUACUAUGCUAUUUGUAGUUUACUACAAAUUUGUAGUUUACUUCCUUGUUUUAUUUGUAGUGUAUUGCACUUUUUCUGGAUUGCUUUGUGUAAUGUAUAAUUUGUAACCUUGUAGCAAAACAUAUCCAUGAAAUUUAAAUAAAAUAUUGUUUUAAAAUGUCUA